GAGGAAAGUCCGGGCUGCAUAGGGCGGCGUAGCAGCUAACAGCUGUCCACCGUGAGGUGAGGAUCAGAGCAACAGAGACGAGUCUGGCAGGAGUGCCGCAAGGCAGACCAACCAGGGUGAAACGGGCAAUCUCUACGCGCAGCAAUACCAAGUAGGCACACGUUGACGGGGCCCCCGGAGUGUGCGGGUAGGUAGCACCGAGCCAUCAGGCGACUGAUGGCCAAGAUUAAUGGCGGUCACAUGGCGGGCAACCGUUGUGCACAGAAUCCGGCUUA
rnacentral:RNase_P_RNA from 1 species